UACGUAGGGCGCAAGCGUUGUCCGGAAUUAUUGGGCGUAAAGAGCUCGUAGGCGGUUUGUCGCGUCUGCUGUGAAAGCCCGGGGCUCAACCCCGGGUCUGCAGUGGGUACGGGCAGACUAGAGUGCGUAGGGGAGACUGGAAUUCCGUGGGUGUAGCGGUGAAAUGCGCAGUAUAAUCAGGAGGAACCACCGAUGGCGAAAGGCAGGUCUCUGGGCUGUUACUGACGCUGAGGACGAAAGCAUGGGGAGCAACAG
rnacentral:rRNA from 1 species